rnacentral:tRNA from 1 species
AGCCUCCUAGCUUAACGGUAAAGCAACGCAAUGUUAGAUGUAGGUUCGAAUCCUACGGAGGUUA